rnacentral:lncRNA from 1 species
CAGCUAUCUUUAAUAAUGCUGUCUUUAUUCACCAGACUCCUUUCUCACCUAUUACGUGUUCUGAUGCUGAGUUCAACAAAACCUAUAUUGUGUUAGAAGUACUACUACAUAACUGAGCUACUUUGCUACUUAAAAAGCUGUUUCUAGCCAAAUAAUAUUUUUUACUUACUCUUGCUAAUAUUGUAUACUUGUUUGGCUCAGGAAAGCACAAAAACAUUGGACCUUGGCCAGAAAAUGUUCCUAUUGUUUUUUUCUAAAGAGUUGGCAGAAAGCAGUUUUUUAUUUUAACUCGAUCUUCACUGUUUGGCAAGGAAAUUCAAUCUAGACCUCUUUAGAGAUAAUAUUCUAGAAAUGAGAAAAUACAAACAAUAGAGACUUACAUGUCUGUACUGAAGCCCAUUCCCAUUUGACCUUGGCUAUUUUUCUUGUAGCAAUGCAUCAUUUUGUUAUCUGCUCUUAUAUCUGUUAUUUAAAAAUUCCUCUAUUUCAGGGUUAAUAAAGCUGAAAUCCAGAACUUCAUCCUUCAUGUUAAUGCCUCAAAUUUGACUGAGGUGUUUCUUCCAUUAUUGGGAAGAAAGCAGUUGAAGUAGCCCUGCAGACUGGUUAUUCAUCCAGGAGGACAACAUCUUUUAUGACCAACAGGUAUUUUUAGAAGACAGAAUGUUCCUUCAAUAAAGCUUGCAGAAUCUGUUCCAGUAGAACUAUGCCUGUUUGAUGGAAAAAAAUGUUCCAGAGGAAUGUUCGUUUUGUCAUAGAUAUCAACAGAAAAUCAGCAGGGAGGUGAGCUUUUAUUUUCUUGCCAGGUUUUGUACCAAUCCAGCAGCUUGUCAACAGCUGCAUGACCUCUUUUCUAAGCUCUCUAGGCUCUUGACCUGGCACGUUCUUGAGCUCCUUAGUCUCCCAGUUCAUCACUUGAUGGUCAGCCAGCUCUGUCUCUGGCUGCUUGUAUGGAUCACGGAGUGGCUUGCUGCUGGCUUGCCUAAACUUCCAAGUGUCUUGCUAACUGGCUUUCUUCCCUUCUUCUAUUUAGCUCCUCAAAUGCCUUUUCCACAGACUACCUCGGGCCUCAUCUCCUUGGCGUUUGAGGCGUGGUUACUGAGAGUGGUUUAUUGUCCAUCCAGCUGGCUCCCUGGUGGGACAGCGGCUCACCUUGAAUAAUCUUUACUGAGAGACUGCAACAACUCUACGAGGGUUCUCAUGAGCUUCUGUGUAGAGAAUCUGUGCACCAAAGAGAGAGUAAGUACGAAUCCACUGACCAUUGUGAUCUACUCUGUCAAUAAUAUCCAUACUGAAGAGAAGUCAUUCAUCUGCAGAUUGGAGUCAUCUGCAGGACUCCCUUACACAUCCAACUCUGCAUUCUCUAUGCGACCACAUAUUGAUAACAUGCCUAUAAAAUUCUUGAGUAUGUGCUUUGCAGAGGAAAACUAAUACAGAUCCACUGAACCUCAAAAGUAUUCUCUUGGAACUUUCAUUUGACGAUAGAACUCCACACUGCAGGAAAACCUUCCUACUCAUGAUUUUGGAUUAAUUCAAGACAACAUAGAGGGAAUUUUAAAUAUUGUUCUAUUGUGAGAUUAUUUCAUGACUGAAUUAAAACAAAACAGAAGUUAUAUUUUCCAGAAAAGAUAGUUUUUAAUAAUGGAUUAUUUUAUAUAUUUGCAAUCUCAAAGAUAGAGUUGAGGUUGAAAAUUUAACAUGAACAAGAAUAAGUAUUACUGGAUUGUCAGGUAUGGUAUACGAUGCAAUAUGUUGCAGUCAUUCCUUAAUACUUUGCAAAAAUGGCUUUUAUUAUUAACUUCAAUCAAGUUCUCUAGUUCAGUAAGCUUGCCAGAACACUAAAUUUUUAGAUAAUUUAUCUUUCUAAUUAAGGUUUUACCUAAAUUUUAUGUGAUUUUAUCUGGAAAUUACGUUGUAGCCUUUAAAGAUAACAGUAAAUGAAAAACACCUGUCAUUAAUAUGUGAACUCCAAAGAACAGGGAGUUCAAGGGUCUAUGCAUAUUCAAAUAAUAUUGAGGAAACAAAACUGCAGUUUGGUUUAGUUUAAUAGCUGCACUAGAAAUAUAAUAAAUUCCCUAUUCAGGAAAAACCA